CUUAAGCGUUGGACCGCGGGAAAUACUGUACGGCUAGAGAGUGGGAGAGGUCAGCGGUAUUCUGGGGGUAGGGGCGAAAUCCUUUGAUCCCCGGAGGACCACCAGUGGCGAAGGCUGCUGUCUAGAACACGUCUGACGGUCAGGGACGAAAGCUGGGGUAGCGAACCGGAUUAGAUACCCGGGUAGUCCCAGCCGUAAACGAUGCAUGCUAGGUGUUGGGUUGGCCACGAGCCACCCCAGUGCCGCAGGGAAGCCGUUAAGCAUGCCGCCUGGGAAGUACGAUCGCAAGGUUGAAACUUAAAGGAAUUGGCGGGGGAGCACCACCAGGCGUGAAGCCUGCGGUUUAAUUGGAGUCAACGCCGGGAACCUUACCGGGAGCGACAGCAGAGUGAAGGUCAGAUUGAAGAUCUUACCAGACGAGCUGAGAGGAGGUGCGUGGCCGUCGCCAGUUCGUGCCGUGAGGUGUUAUGUUAAGUCAUAUAACGAACGAGACCCGUGCCGCAUGUUGCCACCAGAAUCUAAAGGAUUGCUGAGCACUCUUGCGGGACCGCAGCCGAUAAGGCUGAGGAAGGUACGGGCAACGGCAGGUCAGUAUGCCCCGAAAAUCGU
rnacentral:rRNA from 1 species